AGGUCGUGUAAAGUGGAGGAACUGAGUAGGAACUGGCAAGACAUUCAUCAUGAGCAAGUGGGGCUCUGGGGCUCUGAAUGUGGUCCUCUGGCAUUCUUACUGCAAAACUGUCUCUCACCUCAUGUGGAAUUUGACUGCUAAUAAACUUGAGUUUGACUAUUAA